GAUGAACGCUAGCGGCAGGCCUAAUACAUGCAAGACGAACGGUAAGUUGAGUAGCAAUACUUAGCCAAGAGUGUCGUACGGGUGCGUAACACGUAUGCAACCUACCCUAUACAGGAGGAUAGCCUAGGGAAACCUGGAUUAACCCUUCAUAGUAUUAUUGGAUGGCAUCAUUUGAUAAUUAAAACUGAGGUGGUAUAGGAUGGGCAUGCGUCUGAUUAGUUAGUUGGCGGGGUAAUGGCCCACCAAGACGAUGAUCAGUAGGGGUUCUGAGAGGAAGAUCCCCCACACUGGCACUGAGAUACGGGCCAGACUCCUACGGGAGGCAGCAGUAGGGAAUAUUGGGUCAAUGGAUGCAAGUCUGAACCCAGCCAUGCCGCGUGCAGG
rnacentral:rRNA from 1 species